UUCAGACUUCUCUGUUUCAGUACCUUGUCAGUGGUAUUUGUGCCGCAGAGAACAACAAUCACAUGUCCAUAGCAGCCCAGUGUGAUGAGGAAUGGGAUGCAAAACCCAGUGAAUGUCCAUCCAAGGGUGUAGUUCAGAACAUGUCUGGAAGGCUUUGAACACUCACCAACAGCCAAACCAUGACUGAGAUGAUCACAGAGUGGGUGACAGUUAUUCUUCCCAUCACUCUCACUGGAUGGACAAUGGCCAGAUGACACAACAGUGGUGGGCCUGAUCAGCAGAGGAGACGAGACAGCUCACAGGGAGGAGGUGUAGAGGCUGACAGGAUGGUGCGCAGUUAACCUGACCUUGAACACCAGGAAAACACAGGAGAUGAUCAUCGACUUCAGGAGGAAAAAGGAUGAUCACCAGCCUCUGGAGAUAAAUGGAAAAGAUGUGAAGAGGGUGUAAAUCUUCGAUUUCCUGGGUACACAUAUCUCAGAGGACGUCACAUGGGCACACAACAUGAACUGUCUGCUCAGGAAGGCACAGCAGUGGUUACACUUCCUGAGAGCACUCAGGAAGAUCAACCUGUCACAACCGCUGCUGCUGUCCCUCUAUCAUUGCUCUGUAGAAAGUGUCCUGACUACAGCAGCAGCUCUGCAACUGACAAGAGGGUCAGAGAGUGCAGUGAGUGAUAAAAACUGCACAGAAAAUAAUGAACACACACCUACCUGCCCUGGAGGACAUUUUUUACCUCCCGCUGCCUCCAGAAAACAACAAAUAUCCUGAGCGGACUCAUCUCACCCUGCCCACCAUAAAACACACACCAGCAGACUGUUGAACAGUUUUUACCCCAAAAACACUGAAUGCUGCACUGAAAUCACACAGCCAGUAAUCUUUAAUAUUCACACUUGCAUCAUGUGCAAUAACUUUAUUCACUUAUUUAUUUUAUGUAUAAAUAAAAUUGUAACUUAUUUUAUGUUCACGGCAUAUGUUGGCACUGCUGGUGCGUGCAUAUGCGUGUGUGCAUGCAUGUAUGUGCAGUGUGCGUGUGUUUAAAGUACAAAUGAAUUAUAUUUUAUC